UGACAUAGAAGCAAUGAGUAAACAUGCUCAAAAAUUUCUCCAGCAUGUUACCAGUUUCACAGGACCCCGCGAAAGGCUUUGCAAGUCACUGCAGUUCUGCUGUCUUUGCUAGAAUUUGGCCUUUAACCUGGUUGCUUUUGUUUGUUUUGAACUUCACCAGAACGGUCUUCGCAGUGCAGGACUUAAGCAUUGGAAUUGACCAUGCGUUCUGAACUCAUGAGGCUGAGCGAGGAGGAUUCUGACUUCACGGCAACCUGGGCUACAUAGUGAGAUCCCGUCUGUAUUCUCCUAUCGUGUGCACUGACCUGAAGUUGGAAUAUGGAAGAAACGGAUACGGCUCGGGCCACUAAGUACCGCUGAAGAGUGACUUGACUAGGGGAAGGCCUUCCCAACCGUCCCAGCUUCCACACGGACUGCCAGGCUGGCCCUUCACUCCCCCUCCCUUAAGCUCCUCCGCUCCCCAGUAGGAGAUCCAAUAAAGUAGGGGCUCAAGCAAUGCCCUCUUUUCAGCUGA